rnacentral:misc_RNA from 1 species
CUUGAACUCAUGAGGGUUCAAUAGUCCAUCAAUUGCUUCUUUAAAACUCUUUAUCAAUUGAACUCUAGCAGAGAAGGCCCAUCUGCAAGCUCCAUGCCAAAGGAAGUGGAAUUAAGUUUUUCUAAGCAAAGAAUCCAAUCAAGUUUUUCUAAUCAAAGAAUCAAGUGGAAGCCAAUGUAAAAAAUACAACUUCAGAGUCUGGCAUUGGAAGUUGGGAAACAGAGCCUUUGAAGGAAAUAGGAGGGAUCGGGG